rnacentral:rRNA from 1 species
UACGUAGGGGGCUAGCGUUGUCCGGAAUCAUUGGGCGUAAAGGGCGCGUAGGCGGCGGCUUGAGUCCCUGCGUGAAAUCUCCCGGCUCAACCGGGAGGGUGCGCGGGAUACUGGGCGGCUUGAGGACAUCAGAGGAGAGCGGAAUCCCCGGUGUAGUGGUGAAAUGCGUAGAUAUCGGGGGGAACACCAGUGGCGAAGGCGGCUCUCUGGGGUGCACCUGACGCUGAUGCGCGAAAGCGUGGGGAGCGAACCGG